rnacentral:tRNA from 1 species
CGGUGUCGAAGUGACGGAAUUGCCUGCUUUGGGAGCAGGAGACCGCAGGUUCGAGUCCUGUCGCCCCGA